GGCAAUAUGGCCGAGUGGUCUAAGGCGCCAGAAUCAGGAGAUUUGAACGUAUUGUUCACUCUAUCUGGUCCGAAAGGGCGAGGGUUCGAAUCCCUCUGUUGUCA